rnacentral:rRNA from 1 species
CCUGGCGGCAGUAGCGCGGUGGUCCCACCUGACCCCAUGCCGAACUCAGAAGUGAAACGCCGUAGCGCCGAUGGUAGUG